AACGAACGCUGGCGGCAUGCCUAACACAUGCAAGUCGAACGAUACCUUCGGGUCUAGUGGCGCACGGGUGCGUAACGCGUGGGAAUCUGCCCUUCGGUUGGGAAUCACUGAGAGAAAUUUCAGCUAAUACCUUAUAAUGUCUUCGGACCAAAGAUUUAUCGCCGAGGGAUGAGCGCGCGUAGGAUUCGGUAGGUGGUGGGGUAAUGGCCUAGCAAGCCGAAGAUCCUUAGCUGGUCUGAGAGGAUGAUCAGCCACACUGGGACUGAGACACGGCCCAGACUCCUACGAGAGGCAGGAAGGCGGAAUAAUGGACGAUGGGCGAGAGCCGGAGGCAGCAAGGCCGCGUGAGUGAUGAAGGCGUGAGGGAUGAAAAGCAGUGUGAAACGGGAAGAUAAUGACAGUACCGGAAGAAAAAGCGACGGCUAACUACGUG
rnacentral:rRNA from 1 species